GAUCUCAGAUCUUGCUCAUGUUCAGAGUCAUGCAUAUGGUACGGAGAUAGUGGGAAGAAUUUCUCCUCCCUGAUAUGUGACAAUGAGAAAAAUGGCAAUAGAACUCAGCUGUUCAUUAGCUGUCUUCCAUCACCUGUCUCCUGGAUGCAACUGAAUUGUACAUUACCCAAGAAAAAUAAGACGACAGAAAAUGUUUCAAAAUUUUGCAUUUUACCUGUUUGGCAGCCUUAUAAAUGUUUCAAGUGCUGAAACAGUGAAGUAGGCAAUAUUCAAUGGAAAUGAAAUAAUUGGAAAAUCUGAUGACUCCAUCAGUUAAUAUCUGUGGAAACAAAGUAGAUAUGCCACAUUUUUUAUCCUAGGUAAAUGCAAACUUAUAGCUUAUUAUAACACCACAGGAUAUAAAAAAGCAUUCUGCCAGUUGAAGCCAUGCACAAUCUCAGAAUCAAAAGGAAAAUUUUGAUUGUGUUAUCUCAAAAAAUUAAAAACUAUAUUUCUGUUGAUGAUAUAUAUAUGUAUAUAUACAUAUAUAUAUACGUGUAUAUGGGAAUAAAAAAUAGGGAAAUUAGUAUUAGUCCAUUAUCAUGUAAAAUAUUAGAAACAUUGAGAGUUAAAGUGGUUUAUUUCAUUUUUUAAAAAUUGCAUGGACAACUUCUUCUGUACAACUUCUUCUGACUAAACAGCUUGAACAUUUUUCCUAUGCCUUAGCAAACUGUCAUACUCCUUUCUAAGUUGGGACCAGCUUUUAACAUUUUAUUCUUUGUGCUCUCACAGAUAUGAAAUAUUUUCUACAGUUCCUUUCAUGUGACUUUUUGGCUGGUAUCACUUCUUCAUCACAACUACUUUUCUUAUUUAUGCUAAUAAAUUUCUUUGAUAAGUUUCUCUGAAAUAAUAGCAGUGUCAACAUUUCUAUGGUCAGCAUUUGUACAGUGUGGUAAAAUUUUGUAUUGCUUGCUCUGGAGUUUGCAAUGUGUAUAUAUAAGGCUCUGAGCAUCUAUUCUGACUCCAAAAAAGCUAGUUUUUCUGCCUUCUGAAAACCGUUGUUAUUCACCACCAAAAUCUUUAGAAACUAAAUACUCAGUAAACAUUUCCUUUAUUUUCUUGCUUUAAUUGAAAUCCAUUUCUCCUUUUAGGUUCCCCGCAGAUAUCCCAAGUGUUGGAGGUGGCUUUGUUUACCACAUUCCAUGUACUAGUGAACCCGAAGGUUCUCUUUUUUCUGUUUUCAAUUUCCAGAUCAUCUUUCCUCCCCCCCAACUCUAAAAAUUUCUAAUGCUGACUCUUGACAUCAGACUAAUACAACCAUUACACAACACUGACUGUUUCAGGCAUCUUCCAACUCGUGGUGACUUCCCUGAUUCCUUAAAAAUUUCAGCUCACUGUUAAUCUCUCUAGCACUAACACUCUCCUAAUAUUUAGUGCUUUGUAUACAGAGAUUCUAUGUCAUAGACCAUCCUUCCAACAUUCUAGACACUUAAUUACUUGACCUCCAGUAAUCUUGUAUUUUUUUCUCACUUAUUCUAAUAACCCCUUUGGUCAUAAUCUAAAAUUUAUUAUUGUCAAUAUCUGGAACCCCUCCAUAAUCUUAAUUUGAAGUGACCCAGGCUCUAAAUUCAGCCUCCUACAUUUCCAAAUCAUUUCCUAGAUUAUUCUGACUCCACAAUAUGUUUGCUUCACCAGAUCGUAUUAUCUAAUGGCCCUUUAUCCUUUUGUCACUUGC